UACGUAGGGGGCUAGCGUUGUCCGGAUUUAUUGGGCGUAAAGAGCGUGUAGGCGGCCAACUAAGUCAGACGUGAAAUCCCUCGGCUUAACCGAGGAACUGCGUCUGAUACUGGAUGGCUGGAAUCUGGGAGAGGGAUGCGGAAUUCCAGGUGUAGCGGUGAAAUGCGUAGAUAUCUGGAGGAACACCGGUGGCGAAGGCGGCAUCCUGGACCGGCAUUGACGCUGAGGAGCGAAAGCCAGGGGAGCAAACGGG
rnacentral:rRNA from 1 species